rnacentral:rRNA from 1 species
UACGGGGGGAGCAAGCGUUGUUCGGAUUUACUGGGCGUAAAGGGCGCGUAGGCGGCCUCUGCAAGUCGACUGUGAAAUCUCCGGGCUUAACCCGGAAAGGUCAGCCGAUACUGCAGGGCUAGAGUGCAGAAGGGCAACUGGAAUUCUCGGUGUAGCGGUGAAAUGCGUAGAUAUGCGGAGGAACACCGAUGGCGAAGGCAAUCCCCUGGACCUGUACUGACGCUCAUGCACGAAAGCGUGGGGAGCAAACAGG